rnacentral:lncRNA from 1 species
UUGACUGUAUUUAUUUUAAAGUUGUUUAAAUGUAUCAUUUUUAUCAAAAAAAAUAAAAAUAUUUCAGGAGUUUCUCCAAAAAUAAUAAUAAACUAUAAGAGUUUACUAUUUUUGCUGUUUGCUUGCAAAUGAUGUUGUGUUUUUGUUAUUUGUAUCACAAUUUUUGUUAUUUGUAUCACAACUAGCCCUACAUAUAGAGGGAAUAGAAUGUUGCACCCGUGC